rnacentral:rRNA from 1 species
AGAAUCAACGCUGGCGGCGUGCCUAACACAUGCAAGUCGAACGAGAAAGUGGAGCAAUCCAUUAGUAAAGUGGCGCACGGGUGAGUAACACGUGACUAACCUACCCUUGAGUGGGGGAUAACCUAGGGAAACCUGGGCUAAUACCGCAUAAUACCUUCGGGUCAAAGGAGCAAUUCGCUUAAGGAGGGGGUCGCGGCCGAUUAGUUAGUUGGCGGGGUAAUGGCCCACCAAGACGAUGAUCGGUA